CUUUUGUUUUGGUCGAGCGGCGUCUGCUACGCGUUCACCGUGCCGUGACAAAGAAGGUAUUAUUUGGUGCCCAUCGACCAGAACAGCUUGUGAGAGGCCGACGGGGGAAUCGGACGAUUCGUGAAUGCCAGAAGAACUUCUGGAUCUGGCUAGAGCAUGGUGGUUAAUUGCUGUGGCGUGUUGAAUGAAACAUUUUCCUGGUAGUCGCAGUCUCCGCUCAUCAGCUGGUG